GUGGGAAAGUCCAUGGAAGUUGAUGCCAGUGAUUUUUGCCCUCAUAAACUCACGUCUUCAUCUCUUUCCAUUAUACAAGACUGUAUCAGUGUGCAAUGUUGGUCAAGAUGUAACAGCAGUUUUGGCUAACAGAUUUGCUUAGAUAAUACUUGACCUUGUGUUACCAAGUUGUAAGGUUAUGGUUCUGUCCUCCCAUCACUAUGGUGAGCUACAAGGCAACUUUAAUCCCAUGAAUGAUACCAGUUGCAUUAUUCAUUCACUCAUCUCACCAGCAUAUACACAUCCACCAGCGUAACCACAGUUACCACAGCCUGCAACACUAGACUCGUUACCUGCAGCUGUGCUGACUGAAUGAAUUGUGAAGAAAAGACUUUGAGUGGCUUAUCCUGUAUUCACAGAAACUUAUUCUACUAGUGACUUAGACUUGGUUAUUGAUUCUUUAAUGAAAGCAUCCCGUUGUAAUCCUUUUAAAAGUAUCCUGCCUUCUGUUGACCAAAGUAAACUGCUUCAGUAUAGAGAAAAAAUUCACAAGGAUAUAUUGUAUAGGUACAUGUGAUUUCAAGUCUGGAAUGCUGCAAAGUUAUUUUCUGUUCCCUUAUCUGCAUUACAAAUAAAAUUUAAAAUGUA